rnacentral:rRNA from 1 species
CCUACGGGUGGCUGCAGUGGGGAAUAUUGCGCAAUGGGCGAAAGCCUGACGCAGCGACGCCGCGUGAGGGAUGAAGGUCUUCGGAUCGUAAACCUCUGUCAGCAGGGAAGAAAGGUCACUGUGCUAAUCAGCAGUGAAUUGACGGUACCUGAAAGGGAAGCACCGGCUAACUCCGUGCCAGCAGCCGCGGUAAUACGGAGGGGGCGAGCGUUAAUCGGAAUUACUGGGCGUAAAGCGCUCGUAGGCGGUAUGUCAAGUCAAGGGUGAAAUCCCCGCGCUCAACGUGGGAACUGCCUUUGAAACUGGCAGACUGGAGUGUGUGAGAGGAUAGUGGAAUUCCAGGUGUAGGAGUGAAAUCCGUAGAUAUCUGGAGGAACAUCAGUGGCGAAGGCGACUAUCUGGCACCUCACUGACGCUGAGGAGCGAAAGCGUGGGUAGCAAACAGGAUUAGAUACCCCGGUAGUC